rnacentral:rRNA from 1 species
GAGACAGCAGUCGCCGCGGGAAUACAGAGGGUGCGAGCGUUAAUCGGAUUUACUGGGCGUAAAGCGUGCGUAGGCGGCUAAUUGAGUCGGAUGUGAAAUCCCCGAGCUUAACUUGGGAAUUGCAUUCGAUACUGGUUAGCUAGAGUGUGGGAGAGGAUGGUAGAAUUCCAGGUGUAGCGGUGAAAUGCGUAGAGAUCUGGAGGAAUACCGAUGGCGAAGGCAGCCAUCUGGCCUAACACUGACGCUGAGGUACGAAAGCAUGGGGAGCAAACAGGAUUAGAUACCCCCGUAGUCCCUGUCUCUUAUAC